rnacentral:lncRNA from 1 species
AGUUUUGGGGCCUGUCUAUGGCCAGAUUUGGGGGCCUGUUCCCAACAUCUUUAUAUUAAGGCAGAUUUUUGUAGACAACAUAUAGUUGGCCCUUGUCUUUCCUUCACUAUUAUGACAGUCUCUGUCUUUUAAUUAGAAUAUUUAGGACACUCACAUUUAAAGUUAUCAUUGGUAUAGUUGGAUUAAUAUAUACCAUGUUUGCAAGUAUUUUAUGUUAAUUGCAGUUGUUCUUUGCUUAUCUUCUCAUUU